AAGCGCUUGCGACCAGACUUGUAGGCGGUGUUCCGCCGGUCUUUUGACCGGUCCAUUCACCGUCGGCAGGCCAGCAUCGUCUGGGGCCGCCGGACAAAGGCAAUGGGAAUGUAACUCCCCCGGGAGCGUUAUAGCCCAACGCACAAUACGGCGAGACCCGGGCGAGGUCCGCGCUUCGGCGAGGAUGCUGGCGUAAUGGGUGCAAGCGG
rnacentral:rRNA from 1 species